UGCUGGAUGGCUCACUCGGUAAAGCAUGGCAUUGCGACUAUCACGGUGCGGGUUCGAGCCCCGCCUCGUGGCAG